GUGGGGCUAGGUGUGUCUGAGCUCUGACUCUCCUUGUGUGGGUCUUUCUGUGGCUGUUGUGGGGGAUAGGGGUGAGAUGCCCAGGUUAAUGGAGUUGUGUACAUAGGAGGAUUAUGCUGCCUCUGCUGAGUCAUGCAGGUUGUCAGGGAAGUGGGGGAAAGCCGGCAGUCAUAGGCCUCACCCAGCUCCCAUGCAAACCAAAGAGCAGUUCUCAUGGAGCCUGUUUCCAGGUGGUGGGCAAGAUGGGCUUGAAAACUUGCCUCAGGCUACCUGCCUCUCAACUAUGGAAAAAAAGGGCUUGGUUCUUCCCCUGCCUGUGGAGUCUGCACAACAGAUUUGUGCCCUCCCAUGAGUUCUGGCCAGGAGGCUUCUCGCCCUGUUCAAAUUGUUACAAAGUUCAACUAUAGAUUUCUUUCUUCCUGUGGAGUUUCAACACCUGCUCCUCUGGCCACCCUCACAAUGGAUCCCUGUGGUGCCAAGCAGGAAUGGCCUGUUUGGGCACCCAGUGAGCUCCCAGGGCCUUUCUACUGCUUCCUCAAACCCUGUAUUUUGCUCAGCUCUCUAAAUGGAUUCAACUCCAGAGAAGACUAUCAAGUAGUUAGGAAAGAAAGUCAGUGAGAUGUCUCAGGCGUGACUCAGCUACGGAAACAAUAGCAAUCAGAGGACAUUUGGAGAUGAAGAAAAAAAAGAAACAAACUUCAAUACAAUGAGAAAUAUACCAGUACAUAGACCUGGAACCAAACCCAGAACUUCACUUCCCUGUGCCAGAAGGAUUCCAGUGAGCUUUUCCCACAGGCCCUACAGUCUUCUCCAGAGUCACACUCUGUCACCCAGGGUGAAGUGCAAUGGCACAAUCUCGGCUCACCACAACCUCCACCUCCUGGGUUUAAGAGAUUCUCCUGCCUCAGCCUUCCAAGUAGCUGGGAUUACAGGCAUAUGCCACCGGGUCCGGAAUUUUGUGUAUUCACAACAACAUUUGCUGCAUUGGUACAGUGUGACAGAUACAGCACUGAGUACUGACAAACUGGGGAUAUAAUUAUUAAUGAAUAAAGGCAAAAGCAUGACACUUAAGGACAUAAUCUAGUAGACUGUAAUGUGAUGAAGUUUACCUUGAAGGAGAGGGGAG
rnacentral:lncRNA from 1 species